rnacentral:misc_RNA from 1 species
CUGCCCUCAAGCACGGCUUGUGUGUUGGGCCCCGUCCUCCGCUCCCGGGGGACGGGCCCGAAAGGCAGCGGCGGCACCGCGUCCGGUCCUCGGGCGUAUGGGGCUUUGUCACCCGCUCUGCAGGCCCGGCCGGCGCCAGCCGAUCAACCAAACUUUUUUCCA